CUUCCUUUAACUGCUGGGGGGCGUAUUCAUCCGCGCACACACAUAACGAUCGACAUCGCGCCGUUUUUAUCUGCCUCACCAGCUCCGGUUUCCCCACGUUCAGCCUUUCCCCCCGUCAACUGCCGCCAUGUUUUUUUGAGACAGGAUGACAGCAGAGAGCGAGCGCAGACGAAGACGGAUAUAAUACUGAAAAACCGUCGAAUUACAGCAUUUUUCGACCAGGCAACGGUCUAUUUUUUAUUGCGGACUCGCGAGGAACUCAUUUCUCGGAUGGGAGGGGGUCCUCCCACAUAAAUCUAAAAUUCACAAAUUAUUAUUUUCUCCGUUCUGAAGUUUAUGCUAUGAAAAAGCAAUAAGUCAGAAGCCUGUCUGAAGAAGAGCCUAUUCCUGCCUGCGCGUAACUACCUCUACCAGCGAA